rnacentral:misc_RNA from 1 species
GAUGAAGAACGUAGCGAAAUGCGAUAAGUAGUGUGAAUUGCAGAAUUCAGUGAAUCAUCGAAUCUUUGAACGCACAUUGCGCCCGCCAGUAUUCUGGCGGGCAUGCCUGUUCGAGCGGCAUUUUCACCAUCAAGCUCUGCUUGUGUUGGGGUCCUGCGGCUGCCCGCAGGCCCUGAAACCCAGUGGCGGGCUCGCUAGUCACACCGAGCGCAGUAGCACAUCUCGCUCAGGGCGUGCGGCGGGUUCUUGCCGUAAAACAACCCCCCCUUUUCACCAAGGUUGACCUCGGAUCAGGUAGGAAUACCCGCUGAACUUAAGCAUAUCAAUAAGCGGAGGA